GACUUUGUUGCGAAAUAGGAAGCCGAUUCUAGAUUUAAUUUUGGAUUGGAGAUGCUUAAUGUGAGUCUGGAAGGAGAGUUUACAGUCUAACCAGACACCUAGGUAUUUGUAGUUGUCCACAUAUUCUAGGUCAGAACCAUCCAGAGUAGUGAUGCUAGUCCGGAGGGAGGGUGCGGACAGCAAUCGGUUGAAGAGCAUGCACUUAGUUUUACUAGCAUUUAAAAGCAGUUGGAGGCCAGGGAAGGAGUGUUGUUUGGCGUUGAAGCUCGUUUGGAGGUUUGUUAGCACAGUGUACAAAUAAGGGCCAGAUGUAUACAGAAUGGUGUCGUCUGCGUAGAGGUGGAUCAGAGAAUCACCAGCUGCAAGAGCGACAUCAUUGAUAUAUACAGAGGCCCUCCGAUUUGACACACUGAACACUAACUGAGAGGUGUUCCAGUUUACCUGGGCCUUGUUGAUUAGAAAGGCCUGCUCGCUGAAGUCUUUUAGUGAGCGUUUGACAGUGAUGAGGGGUGGUCGUUUGACCGCGGACCCAUUACACACGCAGGCAAUGAGACAGUGAUCGCUGAGAUCCUGGUUGAAGACAGCAGAGAUGUAUUUAGAGGGCAAGUUGAUCAGGAUGAUAUCUAAGAGGGUGCCAUGGUUACGGAUUUAAGGUUGUACCUGGUAGGUUCCUUGAUAAUUUAUGUGAGAUUGAGGGUUAUUUAUCUUAGAUUGUACCAAAAGGCAAAAAUACUGUAUAAAUAUAGGACAAACCACAUCACAACGAGACAGACACAACACUACAUAAUGCGAGACCUAACAUAAGGCAGCAAAACAUGACAACACAGCAUGGUAGCAAAACAUGGUAGCAGCACAAAAACAUGGUACAAACAUUAUUGGGCAAAGUCAACAGCAGAGGGAAAGAAGGUAGAGACAACAAUACAUCAUACAAAGCAGCCACAACUGCCAGUAAGAGUGUCCAUGAUUGAGUCUUUGAAUGAAGAGAUUGAGAUAAAACGUUGAGGGACUAGGGGUUGAUUUUGGGAUUCAGAGUAUAAGUACCUCGCACAUGCUGGAAUAAAUGUAUCGGUGUAUCAAAUAUAUAUAUAUAUAUUUUCCAUAUGCUGAUUGAUUUGUCUCGGAUGGAUGAUACAGUUAUAUGAUUUCAGCUGCCCCAUGUUCUUAAGGACUUACGGUAACUAACUUUUUCUGAUUGUGUCAUAUUCGUUCUUAUUUGACAAACUAUGGUUUGUUGUGCCCUGCCAGCGGCUCUCGACAUGACGAAGUUACCGUUUCUAAAUGUAGAUUUGACCGAACGGUUGAUGUCAGCUGAUAUGAGACCAUAUUAAAAUACAAGGAGGAAAUACUGUAAUACAGGGAAAGAGCGAAUGAUCAACUGAGACGCAAACUGCACAGAAAUGGGAUUCCAUUGCCAGGCCGAGAGUCCUCUGCUCUUAUAGAACUUGAGGAGGGAGCCAUUGGGUUGAAGCAGGAACCAGAACCAAGGCAAACUAUGGAGAAACAGGAGGGAAGGACCAGGAAGGAGGAAAAGCAACUUAGAGGACUAGACUCUGUCUAGAUGUCUCUCCUUACAAUGGAAAUGAUGGCUAUGAUCAGAACACACCUCAUUCAGUCAGUUCCAAACUCACACCGGGGAGAGUAGAUAGGGAGGCUCUCUGUCCAGCUCAUCAACAUCCAAACCAAUCAAAACAGAGACUGAAGGACUGGGUGUUUGUCCAUUUGAUCCGUCAAGUGACCCCAAUACAUUCUCUUCGUCAGUGAACCUUGACCUUUUGGCAGCACUGAAUGAGAACAGUGUAAGUAUGAUGGGGGUGGAAGGUGGUGAAGGACUACUGUCAGGGUUUGAGGCGCUACAGAUACCACUACACAUGGAACAGUCCCUUCAAAAUCACCACAACACAGCAUUGUGUUGCAAGGUGUGUGGGAAACCCUGUAGACAUAUGGGCCAUUUAAACGCACACAUGCAAAUGCACAUGAAAGAGAAGCCAUUACUCUGCGGGGUUUGUGGUAAGUGCUUUAGCUCGCCGGGGAGGUUGAAAGGGCGUUAGCGGAUUCACACAGGGGAGAAGCUCUAUCAGUGCCAUAUCUGUAGGAAACGGUGCAAUCAGACCGCACACCUGAAAGUGCAUCCGAGUGUCCACACAGGAGAAAAACUGUUCAGUUGUCCUGUGUGUGGCAAGUGCUUCAGCCACUCCGACAAAAUUAAACGUCACCUCCAGACCCACAGCCGUGAAGGCACCUAGGCUUGUGAUUUUUUCUCUUUUUCUCUCAAAGAGCUAGGGAUUCUGUGACUUUCUUAGAGAAUGUUCUCUGACUAACACUUCUCCAUGCCAUAGUCUCUCUCUCUCAUGCAAUAGGUUUUGCAUUAUAGUCAAUUUAGUGUGUUUCUUUUUGUACAUGUCACUGAAUGGAGUUUUUGAGAAUCUUUAAAAACACAACAUUUUAUGAGUUAGUUGCUAGUCUUUCUGAAUUAUACUGAACAAAAAUAUGGUGUGGCAUAUCAAGAAGCGUAUUAAAGAGCAAGAUUCAUUAGAAACGUGCACCUUGUGCUGGGGACAAUAAAAGGCCUCUGUAAAAUGGUCAGUUUUGUCACACAACACAGUGCCACAGAUGUCUCAUGUUUUGAGGGCGCAGUGCAGUUGACAUGCUGACUGAAGGAAUGUCCACCAGAGCUGUUGCCAGAAAAUGUUAUGUUCAUUUCUCUACCAUAAGCUGCCUCCAAUGUUGUUUUGGAGAAUUUGGCAGUACAUCCAACUGGCUGUUUAAUCAGCUUAUUGAUAUGCCACACCUGUCAGCUGGAUGGAUUUUCUUGGCAACGGAUAAAUGCUUACUAAUGCAGUUGCUUCACAAAUUUGUGCUCAAAAUUUGUGAGAAAUUAGAGAAAUUGUGCGAAUGGAAACAUGUUGCAUUUAUAUUUUUGUUCAGGAUAACUGUGUUGCUUGUUCGCGAGGGUUGGUCCUGAGCUAGGCUCUGCUGCACAUACAGGUAACUGCUAAAAUAAUGAAAGAUGGCGCCGACAGACAUGGCAGCUCUGCUUCUAGAUCCUAAGCAACUUUGCGAUAUUACAGCACUGUUGGAGCUAGGAACACAACCAUUUCGCUACACCCACAAUAACAUCUGCUAAACAUGUGUAUGUGACCAAUAAAAUUGGAUUCAAUUUAAUGGAAAUACUUCAGUAAAUGAGCAAUACGAAGUAUAUUGAAAGCAGGUGCUUCCACACAGGUGUGGUUCCUGAGUUAAUUACCCAAUUAACAUCCAAUCAUGCUUAGGGUCAUGUGAAAAUGCUGGGCAGGCCAUUAUUUUGGCUACCAUGGCAAUGCCCCCAUCCACAGAGCACGAGUGUUCAGUGAAUGGUUUGAUGAGCAUGAAGACAAUGUAAACCAUUUGCCAUGGCUGUCUCAGUCACCAGACCUCAACCCAAUUGAACUCUUAUGGGAGAUUCUGGAGCAGCGCCUGAGACAGCAUUUUCCACCACCAUCGACAAAACACCAUAUUAUGGAUUUUCUUGUGGAAGUAUGGUGUUGCAUCCCUCCAAUAGAGUUCCAGACACUUGUAACAUCUAUGCCAAUGUGCAUUGAAGUGGUUCUGGCUCGUGCUGGCCCAACGUCCUAUUAACAUAUUUUAUGUUGGUGUUUCCUUUCAUUUUGCAGUUACCUGUAUAUUCACUAUAGCAAAGAUCUGUGGCCCAUUGUUUGGAAGUGAAACAGACAUUUUUGUCAGACCCAGAUCAAUGCUUCUCCUGGAAUUAAAAGCACUUUAGAUGCUGUGUGUGUAUAUAUAUAUAUAUAAGGUCCUAGUAUUAAACAUGUCAUCUCCAAUAGUUCACUGUGAACAGUAAUGAGUUAGAAUGGUCCCCUGGAGGUUUUUGUCUAGUUCCCGGUUUGUCCUGGGGACGUCACUUGAUGGGAAUUAUUAUUUAACAUGUCCUCACCACCUGUGAGGUUUUGCUGUUUAUAAUGUGCGGAUUCGUCAAUUCUUUGUCGAUACAUUCUGUCUGUAUAUUGUGUUUAUCAUCUAUUUUCACCGUUUCACCAAAUCAAAUUCCGGAUAUAUUUAAAUGUCCUUUGUGAAUAAACUCUGUUUCUGAAUGUUAUUCAACAAUAUAACUUAUUUAUUAAAUGUUUCAUAUGCUUACAGAGCUUGAUCUUACCACAUCGUAAUAUAAGAUUGUUUUACUCCACACUCCAAACAAUGUAUAGCCUCAAAUAUAGCAUGGUUUACAGAACCACCCAUUUCACCUCCUUUAUAGAUACCUAUCCAGGUCAGAACACCAAUGGGACAGACUGGUGUCUAGCAUAGGUCUACUGCAGGCCACAAGACUGUUGCCCUGUACAGCUUUUACGUAGGCAUUAGCACAGGGAGUUUACACAAAUCUUUAGUUUAAUAAGUUGCAUAACACCUACAUCACUUUUCAGGUGUUAUCCCAUUCUGCCUUGGUGACCAUGACUUAGGCACUUAGCCUCUUAACUGCCACAAGGGCAAGGCUGACCCUGUUAUACUACAAGCCUUUUCUGGGUUUGGUGUUUCAUAGAGUUGGCUAGGGUGACAACAAAAAACAUGUUUCAGUUAUACAAUAAGACUUUAUUUUGAAAUAAAAUGUUGCCUGUGUGUGUGUGUGUGUGUGUUGUCACAUGCCUGUGUGUUCCUGUGAGUGCGUGUGUGUUUGUAAUGCAGGUUGAGUCUGUAUGUGUGGGUCCUGGGUAUAUAUACCAGUAUAUACCAGUGCUUUUGGCAACACCAAAGGAAGUAUACAUUUCCAUUCAUAACACCAUUAUGACAUCAUUCAUAAUCCCCUUCAUUAAUGUUUCAGUAUCAGUCAUCAUAAAAUCAUACCAGAUUAAACAUCAAUCAUAUGUAAUCUUCAAAAGCAAAACGUUAUUAUCAAUUAUUUUAUAGUAGAACUAUCUGGAUGAAUUGAGCUUGGGUGGUUGCUGUGUUAGUUCUGCACAGCACAAGACUUUGAUAGCCUCUGCUGAGCCGAAGCCAAGGUUCUAGAUUGUGGAGCUAAUGCCAGUCUUCAGGUUUCAGACAAGUUGACUCAACAUGUUAAAAUGACACCCAUUGCACAGGUGCCAGCCAGAUCUGUCAUCCAGAUUUGAAAUUGUUCAAAAUACUUUGAGCGUUUGCUUGAGCCUUUUUUCUUUCUUCUUUGAACUAUUCCAUGUCCAUCAAAGUACGGGAAAUAACACACGAAGGCAUUGAUCUUGGAUAUUACAUGAUUGCAUGAUUACAUAAAAACAGGUGUAAACAGGUCAGUCCCGUCCCAAAAUUGCAAAGAAAAAAAAAGAAAUCAUAGAAAAAUAAUAACACAAGGAACAAAUCCACAAUGCCAAUAACUUGGCUAAAUACACAAUAUUUGCACAUGAUUCUUUUUAAAAUUCUUCAAGCUCUGUCAAGUUGGUUGUUUUGAAGUCUUGCCAUAGAUUUUCAUGCAGAUUUAAGUCAAUUGUAACUAGGCCACUCAGGAAGAUUUACGGUCUUCUUAGUAAGCAACUCCAGUGUUGAUUUGGCCUUGUGUUUUAAGUUAUUGUCCUGCUGAAACGUGAAUUUGUCUCCCAGUGCCUGGUGGAAAGCAGACUGAACCAGGUUUUCCUCAAGGAUUUUGCCUGUGCUUAGCUUCAUUCCAUUUAUUUUUGUCCUAAACUCCCUACUACUUGCUGAAGACAAGCAUACCCAUAACAUGAUGCAGCCACCACCAUGCUUACAAAUCUGAAGAGUGGUACUCAGUGAUGUUGUGUUAGACCUGCCACAAAUGUAACGCUUCAGGACAUAAAGUGAAUUUCUUAGCCACAUUUUUAAAAGUUUUACUUUAGUGUCUUAUAGCAAACAAGAUGCAUGUUUUGGAAUAUUUUUUAUUCUGUACAGGCUUCCUUCUUUUCAAUCUGUCAUUUAGGUUAGUAUUGUGGAGUAACUACAAUGUUGUUGAUCCAUCCUCAGUUUUCUCCUAUCACAGCCAUUAAACUCGGUGACAGUUUUAAAGUCACCACUGGCCUCAUGGUGAAAUCCCUGAGUGGUUUCCUUCUUCUCCAGCAACUGAGUUAGGAAGGACGCCUGUAUCUUUGUAGUGACUGGUAUUGAUACACCACCAAAGUGUAAUUAAUACCUUUACCAUGCUCAAAGGGAUAUUCAACGUCAGCUUUACCAUUUUUUACCCAUCUACCAAUAGGUGCCGUUCUUUGCAAGGCAUUGGAAAUUCACUGCUCGACCAAGGGACCUUACAGUGUGUGUGGGGUACAGAGAUAAGGCAGUCAUUAAAUAAUCAUGUUAAACACUAUUAUUGCACACAGGGUGAAUCCAUGCAACUUAUUAUAUGACCAAUGUUUUCUCCUGAACUCAUUUGCCAUAACAAAGGGUUUGAAUACUUACUGACUCAAGACAUUUAAGAUUCAAAAUACAUAAUUCCACUUUGACGUUGUUGGGUAUUGUGUGUAGGCCAGUGACACAGCAUCUCAAUUUAAUCAAUUUUAAAUUCAGGCUGUAACAACAAAAUUAAGAAAAAGUCAAGGGGUGUGAACAUUUUCUGAAGACACUGUCUGCACUGAGUAUAUCAAACAAGCAUUAGAGUCAACAUGGGCCAACAUCCCUGUGGAACGCUUUCAACACCUUGUAGCCCCCAUCACCUAGGCCAAGUGUCUUGGGCAAUAGGGGCUAUGGGGUUGUCACAAGACAGGGCCUUUAUCACCUCUCAGGACUGAGGCUACUACAGUAGGCCGUCUAACUCGAUCGACAUUCCUCCAGUCUCUUCCCCACAGUCUAUUCUGGGACACUGCUGCUCCCACACACAUUACUGUACAGUGUUGUAUCAUUGUGUACUAAAUGUUAUUUUUUAAUAAACUAGUAAUUGAUUACCUUG